rnacentral:lncRNA from 12 species
UCAUGAGGGUGGCCCCCCAGGACUAGUUAGGAAGCUGUUGGCACUGUGAGUGCCUUGUGCCUUCCGGAGGAUGCUCUGCUUUCUCUAUGAAGCUGAUAUAUUCAGGCUGCCACUCAACAUUUAUCCAGUGUACCCAGCGUGUCAGGCCCUGUGCCAGGCUCCAGAGGCCCACAGUGACUGGGUGUGCAGGGUCCUGGCUGGUAGUCCUAGUGGCAAGACACAGAGUUACAACUGGGACGGUGCUGGGAGGACUGGGGAGAAGGAUAGUGAGGCAGGAAAUAGGCUGUGGCGUUGGGGAGGCUGGGAUUUGGUUAGGGUCACGUAGAGAUAAAGUUUCUCUCUCUCUCUCUCUCCCUCUUUAAAGAUUCUAUUCAAAAAAAAUAAAGAUUUUAUUUAUUUAUUCAUGAGAGACACACAGAGAGAGAGGCAGAGACACAGGCAGAGGGAGAAGCAGGCUCCAUGCAAGGAGCCUGAUGUGGGACUCAAUCCCGGGACUUCAGGAUCACGCCCUCGGCCGAAGGCAGACGCUCAACCGCUGAGCCACCCAGGUGUCCCAGAGAUAAAGAUUCAAAGGCAAGUGAUUUGUCCGAGAGAUGAUUCUAGAAAGCACCGAAAGAGAGAGAGGAUUCUAGAAAGAACUGGAAGAGGACAGGGAGGGGAGGACACGUGACUCUGCUACCUGGGAGUGCAGCUGCUGUUGGAGCUGGAGGGACCUCGGGAGACCAUGUUGCACAUGCCAUGCCCUCGAGCUGUGCCCCCAGUGUGCGUGCCUUCUGCAGGUCUGGAAAAACCCUCAGAGACAGGCAGCGCCAGCUCCGGCCGUCACCCUUCCGCUCUACUCGUCACCUGCCGCCGCAGAACCUCCCCGGGGGCUGAGUUCUCCCCAAUCAACCAGUGGCUCCCCCAUUUCACAGUGGCUGCAUCAGCAUCAGGUUGGUGGGGAAGGAUCAGGCUGUGGGUGCCCGUAGAACCUUGGUCUCCUGGCUUCUGGCCGGUUGUGGGCUCCUGCCAGGAGGAAGCGUCUGUCCAGGGGAUUGUCCCCACCGCAGGUGUCCCUCCUGAGCGUGUGGGUGUGAGAUGAGAGAGGGGGAGAUGAGCACCCCUCCGCGGGCUGGGCCAGGGCUCCUGGGGCUCCCUCGUGGUCCUGGUACCUUCUUCUUGGCAGUUUUCCUCCCACCGGUGCCUUUGCUGAAUGCCGCGGUCUCCCUCCGGACUAGAAGCUCUGCGAAGGGCGGCCUGGCGCCUACUAUAACUCUCUCGUGCCCCGUCUUGCUUGUUCAUUGCCAUUUCCCAAGCACGCAGUGAAGGGCAGGAGCGGGCCCUAGCUGUCAUGCACGCAGUUACCCCAAAGGGUGAGAAGCACAAACUCAGCACUCACGGUGUGCCAGGCGCUGCUCUGAGCACUUCCCUGUACUAACCCCAGGAGGAAGUCAGUAGUGCAAGGAAGGCACCCUACACGGACCUCCUGUACCUCCCGAAGCCUCUGGAGGUGAGCUAAGCUCCCUGGAGAGCUGCCCUUGCUAAGCUCCCCGGGCCUGCUGUAUCCCCAGGUGGAGCCAGUAUGAAGUCAUCCUGAGCAAAUGGAUGCAAUUCUCCCUCGCUCUGCAGGGGUGAGAGCUGCCCCGCAGGCACCUCUCAGGAAAGCCCAGAUCUCUGGGCUGCUUUUACCUGGAGCCAGCAGCCUGGAAGCUCUGUCUGUCUGUUCCCUAGGCUGCACAUUUGGGUCCUGGAGCCCUUGCUUUGUGUCAUUCCGGCAGCGUGGAUGAAACAGGACAGGGAGCAGCUGACAUCAGGUUUCCUGGACCAGCAGGACUUGGAAUUUUAUCAGGGACCUUCAAAUGCAAGACAUGUAAAAGAUUGUUUUAUUCAUUCACUCCUUCCUUCCUUCAUUCAUUCACCCUUGUGGUGGAGACUGACCAGCUCUUCAUUCAACCCAUUUCCCUUUCUUCCAAGGCACACAAAUAGACCGUAUUCCUAGCCUCCUUGGCACUUCGGUGCACCUUAUGUGACUGAAUUCUGGCUAACAGGAUGUGGGCAGAAGCAACAUGAGCCAUAUUUAGGCCUGGCCCAUAACCUCCUGGACCCCCCAGUCCCUCGCUUUCUCUCUUUCUCCAUCUACCAAUUGAAUGCAGGAGACUCUGGCAUCCUAGAGGAGGGGAGAGCCAUAAAAUGGAAGGAGCCCGGGCCCUUGCAGGGGGCUGCCUACCGCUCAAGAACACCAUGUGGCCUUUAGAAGAAGAGAACAUAAUCGCUGUGUCAGCCUCUGCACCAGGGGCUUGCCUGUUACAGCAUCUAGUGCUAUCCCAAAAAACAUAUCUUGGGGCGCCUGGGUGGCUCAGUCUGUUAAGCGUCUGCCUUCGGCUCAGGUCACGAUCCCGGGUCCUGGGAUCCAGCUCCGUAUCAGGCUCCCUGCUCAGCGAGGAGUCUGCUUCUCCCUCUCCCUCCUCGUGUUCUCUCUCACUCUCUGAAAUAAAUAAAAUCUUAAAAAAUAUAUAAAAUAUAAA